GGGAGGGAGCCUGGGUGUGGCUCCCCGCGGCCCCUCUGCUGGUCCCCAUCAUCUCCAGCUGGAGAGCCGGGCUCAGGGAGGCUGAGUUCUGUGUCCUCGCUGGUACAUGGUGGGGCCCAGAUCUGAACCUGUGACUGGUUGGUGUUUUGUGCCCUUAAACUGCCCGAAUCUAGGUAAGAUGGGAAACCGAGGCAGGACAGGGGCCGUUCUGAAGCUGUGCAGAGCUGGUCAGCCCUAGAGGGGACUCUUCUCUUAGGAGCCCUGGUCCUCCUGGGGUGGAGGACUCCCCCGAGUCUGACAGUGUAUCAUGUUCCUCCACCAGGUGCAAAGUCUCUUCUGGCCCUGUUAUGGUUUAGAUAUGAGGUGUCCCCCAAAAGCUCAUGGGUGAGAUGGUGCAAGAAAGUUCAGAGGAGAAACGGUUGAGCCUUAACCCA
rnacentral:lncRNA from 1 species